rnacentral:rRNA from 1 species
GAUGAACGCUGGCGGCGUGCCUAAUACAUGCAAGUCGAGCGAACGGACGAGAAGCUUGCUUCUCUGAUGUUAGCGGCGGACGGGUGAGUAACACGUGGAUAACCUACCUAUAAGACUGGGAUAACUUCGGGAAACCGGAGCUAAUACCGGAUGAUAUUUUGAACCGCAUGGUUCAAAAGUGAAAGACGAUCUUGCUGUCACUUAUAGAUGGAUCCGCGCUGCAUUAGCUAGUUGGUAAGGUAACGGCUUACCAAGGCAACGAUGCAUAGCCGACCUGAGAGGGUGAUCGGCCACACUGGAACUGAGACACGGUCCAGACUCCUACGGGAGGCAGCAGUAGGGAAUCUUCCGCAAUGGGCGAAAGCCUGACGGAGCAACGCCGCGUGAGUGAUGAAGGUCUUCGGAUCGUAAAACUCUGUUAUUAGGGAAGAACAUAUGUGUAAGUAACUGUGCACAUCUUGACGGUACCUAAUCAGAAAGCCACGGCUAACUACGUG